rnacentral:lncRNA from 1 species
UAAACAGGGAGGAAUUUCUCCAAUCCACUCAAUAUUAUCUACUGCCUCUCUUAUAAACUGACCUAACCAAAAAGCAACCUCAAUUGCACCCCUCCUAACCUGUUGAAGUUUAUGCCCAUGAAUUCGUAUAAGAAGCACUUGGGCAUCAGCAACUCUAAUUCACCCCUUUCAUUACGGCAUUUGCUAAAAAAACAUUGCAAGAUCUCCCACAAACUAGGGGCGUAAGAUUUAUCAAAAGGUGUUGAGAAAGAAUAAAUCAAGGAGUUGGCCUAUUUCUCAUUUUCUCUAUUCACACUCUACCCGUAUAUAAUUGUCAUAUCAUGAAUUACAAACAAGAAUAUAAAUCAAGGAGUUGGCCUAUUUCUCAUUACGGCAUUUGCUAAAAAAACAUUGCAAGAUCUCCCACAAACUAGGGGCGUAAGAUUUAUCAAAAGGUGUUGAGAAAGAAUAAAUCAAGGAGUUGGCCUAUUUCUCAUUUUCUCUAUUCACACUCUACCCGUAUAUAAUUGUCAUAUCAUGAAUUACAAACAAGAAUAGAACAGGAACAUAACAGUAUUGCAAUACAAUCCUGAGUUAUAGCCAUUAUUGCAGUAUAAGUCUGUCUGAAUUUCAAGAAUG